rnacentral:rRNA from 1 species
UACAGAGGUCUCAAGCGUUGUUCGGAUUCAUUGGGCGUAAAGGGCGCGUAGGCGGCGGGGUCAGUCGGGUGUGAAAUCUUGGGGCUUAACUCCGAAACUGCAUUCGAUACUGCCGUGCUUGAGGACUGGAGAGGAGACUGGAAUUUACGGUGUAGCGGUGAAAUGCGUAGAUAUCGUAAGGAAGACCAGUGGCGAAGGCGGGUCUCUGGACAGUUCCUGACGCUGAGGCACGAAGGUCAGGGGAGCAAACGGG